CAUUGGCUUUUUUGUAUGCUAGGCUUUUACUUUUUGCAGCGACGAAGAUAUUUGUGUCAUCAGCAAAUAGAACAAAUUUAGAGUUCUUUUCAGAGUUUGUAAGAUCGUUUAUGUAAAUUAAGAACAGAAGGGGCCCUAAGCAGCUCCCUUGUGGCACUCCAAAAAGCACAGGUAGAGUAUCAGAUAUUUCAUUGAGCACACCAACAUAUUGUUUACGGUCGGAAAGAUAACUUUCCAGGAGUUUGUGUGCCUGUCCUCUGAUCCCGUAUGUGUUUAAUUUUUUGAGAAGUAUUGAGUGAUCUAUUGUAUCAAAUGCUUUACUUAGGUCGAUAAAGAUUCCUAAAACAUGAUUACCAGCUUUGAGUGAUUGCUGAAUGUAGUGAACUGAGUAGUUGAGUGCAUGUGAUGUUGAAUGACCUUUUCGGAACCCAAACUGGCUAUCGUGCAGUAUUCCCUGACUCAAGAGAAAACCAUAAAGCCGUCUACGGUAUUGAACAAUUGCUGAAUCCUGCAACUGGACAUUUGUGCGAUAAACAUUACAUCAGACUACACAGAUUUUUAUGAACAAACUGAGAAUCGCCCCUUCUAUUCGGUUUUUGGCAAAAAGCAUGAGUGUUGAUUGUUGAACAUUGGCCUAGAUAAACUAUGAACGUUUUUGAAACACAGGGCGUUUGUUAUUUUUCUGAUGUGAGUUAGCAAAUUAUGAUCAACCGUUUUAUAUUUAUUUUAAUGUGUACAUUUUCAAUAAAAGAAAUAUCAAUUUAUGUAAUUUGACAGAUUUGACAGAACUUCGACAUAUAGCCUCGAACAGAAACCAUUGGAGAAAUUUGUUUAGUUUUUGAUACUUUAAUUUUUUUUUGGGUUAAAUAUUUAAGUUUGUUUUCAGAGUUCUUCACGUAGACUUAUCAGAUCCUAGGAUGUUUUUAUAUUACUACUUCGGAUUUGUGUAAAGUUUGAUAAUAAAAAAUGUACAUUUUCAAUCCUUGUUAAGUCUUUCAAAUAUAAA